UCGGGAAUCUUGCACAAUGGGCGAAAGCCUGAUGCAGCAACGCCGUGUGAGCGACGAAGGUCUUCGGAUCGUAAAGCUCUGUUGUUAGGGACGAGGGGUGAAGGGUUAAUAGCCCUUAGCCUGACGGUACCUAUCGAGGAAGCCCCGGCUAACUACGUGCCAGCAGCCGCGGUAAUACGUAGGGGGCGAGCGUUGUCCGGAAUUAUUGGGCGUAAAGAGCGUGUAGGCGGCUUGGUAAGUCUGCUGUGAAACCUUGGGGCUCAACCCCAAGCGUGCAGUGGAUACUGUCAAGCUAGAGGAUGGUAGAGGCCAGUGGAAUUCCCAGUGUAGCGGUGAAAUGCGCAGAUAUUGGGAGGAACACCAGUAGCGAAGGCGGCUGGCUGGGCCAUUCCUGACGCUGAGACGCGAAAGCGAGGGGAGCGAACAGGAUUAGAUACCCGCGUAGUCC
rnacentral:rRNA from 1 species